AUUGAACGCUGGCGGCAUGCCUUACACAUGCAAGUCGAACGGUAACGCGGGGCAACCUGGCGACGAGUGGCGAACGGGUGAGUAAUGCAUCGGAACGUGCCCAGUAGUGGGGGAUAGCCCGGCGAAAGCCGGAUUAAUACCGCAUACGACCUACGGGUGAAAGGGGGGGAUCGCAAGACCUCUCGCUAUUGGAGCGGCCGAUGUCAGAUUAGGUAGUUGGUGGGGUAAAGGCCUACCAAGCCUACGAUCUGUGGCUGGUCUGAGAGGAAGACCAGCCACACUGGGACUGAGACACGGCCCAGACUCCUACGGGAGGCAGCAGGGGGGAAUUUUGGACAAUGGGCGCCAGCCUGAUCCAGCCAUGCCGCGUGCGGGAAGAAGGCCUUCGGGUUGUAAACCGCUUUUGUCAGGGAAGAAACGCUCUGGACUAAUACUCUGGGGUAAUGACGGUACCUGAAGAAUAAGCACCGGCUAACUACGUGCCAGCCGCCGCAGUAAAAC
rnacentral:rRNA from 1 species